rfam:Thermococcus sp. 5-4, complete genome.
CGGGCCAAGCCCGCGGGAUGUUCCCGUAAGGGAGAACCACAAG